GUGAAUCAUCAAAUUUUUGAACGCAAAUUGCACUCUCUUCGGAGAGUAUGUCUGUUUGAGGGUCAGCCUAAAAAAUAUCGACAUAGUUGCUGUUUCGCGGUGACAUUUGUCGGAAAUUGGGUCAUCUUAAAACUUUGGGUUUUAAGAGGCUUAAAAUUUUCUUUACGAUUACACGAAAGUAUCUAAGAUUUUACUUUUUACACAUGUUUAAGGUAUCGAUCUUUAUUAGAGGUUGCGGUUGCAUAGGAUCGAGUGCAUAAAUAUUUCGUUAACUG
rnacentral:misc_RNA from 1 species